GUGGAGGUGGGCAGGGGCUGGUCCAUGUGCAUUCAGCCCCCCCACCUGCUCCUCCCUUUCCUAAUGCCCACACGGAGCAGACACUCGAGGGCUGCUUUUAGGAGUGCUGACUACAUGCUUCCCUACCUCCAUGUAGGCAUGUGUGUACACAAGCGUGUCCUGUUUUCACCUUUUCACAAAACUAUGUCAAAAGUGAAACAUUUUGGAAUACAUUUCCAGUUAUGCAAAAUGUUUAAAAUAUGAAUUUCUUCGGUUAACACAAAUUAGGCAUGAAAUGUAGGCAACCCUGUUUACCAAGAAACAUCAGGGUGCGGUGUGGGUCUGGGAGGUGCCCAUGAGCACCUCAUCUUGAGGCCAGUCUUCAUGCUAGACCCUGGGUGGAGAGAGCGAGGCGGCUGGAGGUGGGUGUGUGACACCAGGUGACUUAGCGGCCCCAGGAGGGUGACUUCCCCUCCGGAGGUGCCAUGCGACUGUACAGCUCAGGAGCACUCGGGGUCACCUACAGGAGGGGCAACUCCUGGGUGUCUCCCAACAGAGCCCAAAACCUGGAAGUGGACAGAGCACCCCCCGCUCAUCUCCUGGGCCCUCGUCUCAGAGGAAGGACGGCCAUUCUGGCCAACACUGACCAAUGCUCCAGCCCACACUGCCCUGCACUGCCUAGAAGGAGAACCUAGGCUGGGCUCCCAGACAGGAGAGAGGGGUGCGUUUGUGGGGCUAAUUAAUAGUAAUAAUAGGCCGGGAGCGGUGGCUCAUGCCUGUAAUCCCAGCACUUUGGGAGGCCGAGGUGGGUGGAUCACCUUAGCUCAGGAGUUCAAGACCAGCCUGGCCAACAUGGUGAAACCCCGUCUAAAAAUGCAAAAAAACUAGCUGGGCGUGGUGGUGCCUGUAGUCCCAGCUACUCGGGAGGCUGAGACAGAAUCACAUGAACCCGGGAGGCGGAGCUUGCAGUGAGCCGAGAUCGCGCCAUUGCACCCAGCCUGGGCAACCAGAGUGAAACUCUGUCUCAAAAAAAAAAAAAAAUCGUCAUAAUAAUAAUCCCCCCUCACCUGAGUUCUGGGAGGUCAAUCCAGGUUCAAGAUUCCUCCUUUGAAAGGUAGACUGGAUUUGGAUACAGAGGGUGCCCAUGCGUGAGGGGACGAGGGGGCCCGGGAUGCGGGUCCGUGUGAGGGGCUGAAGAGUUGCCCCUGUGCUAGUCAGUGCCGCCGCCAUAACCGAGCCCCGCCGGCUGCGCGGCGUCUUCAGCAAGCGUUUAUUUGCUAAUUCUGGGGGCUGGAGGUCCGCGGUCACGGUGUCCACAGACUGACUUCUCCAGAGGCCUCUCCUUGGCUUGUGGACACCGUCUUCUCCCUAAAUCCUCAUCUCCUCUUCUUAUACAUUGUAUCAGGGCCCGCCCCAUGACCCCAUUUCACCUUAAUCGCCUCGUUAAAGACCCCAUCUCCAAACAACCAUAUUCUGAGGUCCUGGGGGUUAGGGCCUCAGCACAGGAAUUUGGGGCGGGGGGACACACACUCUGACUUCGCACCACCUCCCCACCACUGCGUGGUGUGUGCUGCGGUUUAGCUUGUGUGACUGUGAUCUUUUUCGUCAACUGGUUCAUUGAACAAGUGUUCAACGGGCCCUCUAAGAAAGUAAUUAACGUCAAAUGAGGCCCUAAGGGUGGGGCCCUGAUCUGAUAGAAUUCGUGUCCUUAUAAAAGAGGCACCAGAGCACCCACUCCCUGUCUCCGACGUGUGGGGACAGAACAGGCGGCCAUCUGCAAGCCAGGUAAGAGCCCUCGCCAGGAAAGGCCCAGCUCACACCUUGACCCUGGACUUCCAGCCCCUAGAACUGUGAGAAAAUUAAUUUCUGUUUAACCUACCCAGUCUGUGGUACAGUCAUCUCUCAGUAUCUGUGGGGCACUGAUUCCAGGAUCCCCACAGAUACCAAAAUCCACAGAUGUUCAAGUCCCCCAGUGAGCCGUCUGCAUCCAUGGAGGCAGCCCCAGCCUUGGAGACCGACUGUGUUUCCUUAGGGCAGCCCUAGGCGCAGCGGUGCAAGGAGAGCCACAUUUACCCCUGGCGCUGCACGGCCCUGAGGCUGGGCAAGGCUGUCCACCCCGCUGUCAGAACCCCAGCAGGGAAGGUGUCCAGAAGGCAGUCCUGGGAACCCUGCACAGAGGCCCAGCGGGCACAAGGUUGGGGCAGCUCUGUUCCCAGCAGGCCGAGCCCGGGUGGCUGGAGAGGGAGCUCUGGAAGGUCAGCCUAGGGGCCGUCGGCCCCUGCAGACCCUGUGCCCAGCCCAGCAUCCCGGGGAGCUCCCUCCACAUGCUCAUCUCACGAGGUUCCUGCUGCACUCAGAGUGGAGGAUGGGAGGCCUGGGGCGGAGGGCCGGGGCUUUGGAAUGGCUGAGGGGGACAAGGAUGCACAAGGGGCCAGUGCAGAGGACAGCGCGACUCCCAGGGGCCCGGGGUCCUGGUCUUCCUGGUCCUGCCGUUUUUAUUAGAAGCGAGCCCUCCACCCCAGUGGGUGUAGAGCCCAGGACGCAGCAGAGGGUGGGGGGGUGGGGGGCGGCAUCGGGGCAGGUGGCAACCCCUUGGACGCAGGCUCAGGACGCCAGGGUCAGGGCGUGAGUGCCGGGGCCCCCUCAAAGCCGCGGGGUCCAAAGAGGCCGCCGGCCCCGGCCCCGCCCUCUGCUCCUCCUCCCCCUCCACCGCCAGGCCCGGGUGGCCGCCGCCUCCUCCGAACGCGGCCGCCUCCUCCUCCGAACGUGGCCUCCUCCGAACGCGGCCGCCUCCUCCUCCGAACGCGGCCGCCUCCUCCUCCGAACGUGGCCUCCUCCGAACGUGGCCGCCUCCUCCUCCGAACGUGGCCUCCUCCGAACGCGGCCGCCGCCUCCUCCGAACGCGGCCUCCUCCUCCUCCGAACGCGGCCGCCUCCUCCUCCGAACGUGGCCGCCUCCGAACGUGGCCGCCGCCUCCUCCGAACGUGGCCGCUUCCGCAGCGCCCGGCGCAGGCCGCACUCCGCCACCAGGGGGCGCCACAGCUCCUCGCGCCGCCGCCUCCCG
rnacentral:lncRNA from 10 species